rnacentral:tRNA from 2 species
GCCCGGAUGGUGGAAUCGGUAGACACAAGGGAUUUAAAAUCCCUCGGCGUUCGCGUUGUGUGGGUUCAAGUCCCACUCCGGGUACCA